rnacentral:misc_RNA from 1 species
UAUUUUGUUCAUUACAGCUGAGGUGGAUGUUUCUUGUUGAUGCAAUUUAACGAUAGAUUUGCUUCCAACAAACCCAAGUCCCUGUCCCUGGGGAAGAUUGGGUGAAGAAGAUUGGAAGCCCCCCUGGGGUGGGCUGUGGAAGGAGAAGAGGUAGGGAGUAAGGCACUGGUGGAAGGCAAGCAAAAGGGAUUGGGCGUGUUAUAGAUGAUGGAGGAGCCAAAGGCUCAGGUGGUGGCCGGGGCAAAGGAGGGUCUGCAGGCAAGACUGCUCCCAACAAACGUGAUAUCUUUGUACUUGUAAUCUCUAUUAUGGAUGAAGAAUAAAAUACAAAAGAGUUGCAUUAAUUCCUGGACAAGAGAUAUAUGUCACAACGAAUGCCUGGGUUGUCUUGUGAAUUUAAUUAUAAAACGUGCUUUGUUAUACUGACC